rnacentral:rRNA from 1 species
GAUGAACGCUAGCGGCAGGCCUAACACAUGCAAGUCGAGGGGCAGCAUAAAACAAGCUUGCUUGUUUGGUGGCGACCGGCGCACGGGUGCGUAACGCGUAUGCAACCUACCCUGUACUGGGGGAUAGCCCGGAGAAAUUCGGAUUAAGACCCCAUAGUAUAUAUCAUUCGCAUGUUUGGUAUAUUAAAGGUUACGGUACAGGAUGGGCAUGCGUCCUAUUAGCUAGAUGGUGAGGUAACGGCUCACCAUGGCGACGAUAGGUAGGGGGCCUGAGAGGGUGGUCCCCCACACUGGUACUGAGACACGGACCAGACUCCUACGGGAGGCAGCAGUGAGGAAUAUUGGUCAAUGGGCGCAAGCCUGAACCAGCCAUGCCGCGUGCAGGAAGAAGGUCCUAUGGAUUGUAAACUGCUUUUAUUUGGGAAUAAACCUCUUUACGUGUAGAGAGCUGAAGGUACCAAAUGAAUAAGCACCGGCUAACUCCGUGCCAGCCGCCGCAGUAACAC